rnacentral:rRNA from 1 species
ACGUUAGUCGUCUUAAUCAGGCGUAAAGGGUAAGUAGGCUGCUUUAACAGUUAUUAUUCCCAUAGCUCUUUAAUUAUAUUAAAGUAAGUAAUAAUGAAUUAAAGCUAGAAUCAAAUAGAAGAUAAGACAAAUAACGCUAAGAGUAAGGCUGAUAUCUUUAGAUACUUUGCGGAAUACUAAAGGUGAAAACUUUUAUCUACUAAUGAUUGACGCUGAGGAACGAAGGUGAGAAUAGAAAACAGGAUUAGAGACCCAGGUAUCUCUCACUGUCAACGAUGAAUGGUGGUUGUUAGUUUAAAUAAAACUAGUAACGAUGUUAACGCGAUAACCAUUCCGCCUUGCGAGUAC